UCCCAACUUAACCGAAUCACAUGCUUUCGCUAACUUUGAUUCCACGUCACUCACGUUUCCUAGAUCCUUAAGGUCUGCCAAUCCUAUAGGUCUCUAGGUCCAUUCCUAUUCUUUCACUCUAGGCUCUGAUACCACAAUAUCUGUCACGCCCCGGGACCGAUACCAAUUUGGGCCGGCCCGAGCACGUCAAACAGACGCCGAACGGACAGAGUUUUUCCUGUCCGCCCAAGGCUCAUCACCUGUACAUUUUUCAAGUAGAGAAAAACACUAGCAGAAACAUACACAAACGGUUUACACGAGGGUAAGCAAUAGCCAUGAGUGAAAGAAAGGAAACUAAACAUUCACACAAGUAUUAUGAUUCUCUUUUGAUCACAUACAUGUAUCCAUUUCAUCCAACUUGUACAUUCAUGAUUCUUUACAUUGCUUGCAUCAUUUCUUGUUACAUCACAUUGCCUCAAAAUAAAACUUUAC
rnacentral:lncRNA from 1 species